GACAUGAACAUUUAUUUAGUCAUAACAGUAAAAUACAUUCAAACUGACAGGUGAAGUAAAUAACAUGGAUUAUAUACAGCGUGGAUGAAGUCAGUGUUAUGAUGCUUUGGCUUGCUUUCAUGUGCAUGUCAGCUGAAUGGAAAGGGCUCUGAUCCAAGCCACCAACAUCAUCUGGAACCUGUCCUGAGAGAUGGUGGUGUCGAGAAACCGGAGUGACUUUAUUGCUACAGCACUGUUCAUGAUGGUGAUUGGGGGUAUAACUUGGUGAUGC